AUGUCAGGACAGGAGAUGCUUUGCUUUUUUUUUGGUGUGCAUGUGAAGCAGAUUUGGGAGCAUUUCAAAAAAGUCUGAUAAAAAGCAAUCCAAUAUAAUCUUACUCUAAUCCAAUGUUUUGUCAGCGGUAUUAUACCUCUGUGCUUUUGGAUAUCUUGACCUAUUAGUGGCUGCGUGACAUUUAGAAAUGGUAUUAUAUAUUUGUUAUUAUUAGUUAUGAACAAAGAUGAUGUGCACUUGGAACACUGGGAGUGUGCAUUUUCCUGACUGCCCCAAAAUGUAACACACCCCCUUAAUAAAAAAAAGCUAGCUCAAACAACACACCAAAAAAACGCCUAAAAACACCUUUUUAAAACAAUAAUAAUAUGAAUUCCUGGGUGCUAACGACAGAAAAACACAACAAAAAGUUCAUUUUCUCUGCAUGGUUUGUUUAAAGCAUCGAGCAUAUGAGUUUUAGGAGACAAUAGCACUGCUGUCAAAACACAAAAGCAUGUCAAAAAAAGCUAACGGUUUGCAAAAAUGUCGGUUAGAAAGUUGGUGUAAAAAAAAAAAAAAAAA